rnacentral:sRNA from 1 species
AGACCUCAUACAAGAUGGCGGCACCCGAGGAACACGAUUCUCCGACCGAAACGUCCCAGCCGAUUGUGGAAAAGGAGGAAACUAAAACAUUUAAAGACCUGGGUGUGACAGAUGUGUUGUGUGAAGCUUGUGACCAGUUGGGAUGGACAAAACCCACCAAGAUCCAGAUUGAAGCUAUUCCUUUGGCCUUACAAGGUCGUGAUAUCAUUGGGCUUGCAGAAACUGGCUCUGGAAAGACAGGCGCCUUUGCUUUGCCCAUUCUAAACGCACUGCUGGAGACCCCACAGCGUUUGUUUGCCCUAGUUCUUACCCCGACUCGGGAGCUGGCCUUUCAGAUCUCAGAGCAGUUUGAAGCCCUGGGGUCCUCUAUUGGAGUGCAGAGUGCUGUGAUUGUAGGUGGAAUUGAUUCAAUGUCUCAAUCUUUGGCCCUUGCAAAAAAACCACAUAUAAUAAUAGCAACUCCUGGUCGACUGAUUGACCACUUGGAAAAUACGAAAGGUUUCAACUUGAGAGCUCUCAAAUACUUGGUCAUGGAUGAAGCCGACCGAAUACUGAAUAUGGAUUUUGAGACAGAGGUUGACAAGAUCCUCAAAGUGAUUCCUCGAGAUCGGAAAACAUUCCUCUUCUCUGCCACCAUGACCAAGAAGGUUCAAAAACUUCAGCGAGCAGCUCUGAAGAAUCCUGUGAAAUGUGCCGUUUCCUCUAAAUACCAGACAGUUGAAAAAUUACAGCAAUAUUAUAUUUUUAUUCCCUCUAAAUUCAAGGUAAAAUGUUUACUUUGAUCAUUCCUGCCUCUCCCUCUUCUUUUCACCAAAGCAUCUGAAAAUGUGUCAACUCUUGAUUAGGUAAGAGCUGUAAUGCAGAUUGGCAUCCUGUCUCUUUGCUUUAGAGUGCAUAUCGUGCUUAUAUUAUCACCGAUAAGCCAGACAUGCCAGGAAUUCACAACACAUUAAACCACAAUACUGAGGUCAUGAUGUACUCAUAUAAUUCCUUCCCAUCCCCAUCCUUGAGGUAAUUUUUCCUUUGUCUGCUUAUUAUGUGGCUUUUAUUUAGGAUGAAGCCCCUGGUUUUGUGCUUUGAUAUAAGGACUUCUCCUGUUUGCUGAGUACAGAUCUCCUGCCUGCCUUUAGGCUAAGUGGGGAAUAUGUGGUUCACAGAGAUGAUAAUGCUGGUUAAGGAAUGCAAAGCUGGCAGCUGGAGGUCUGGAUAAUUGAAAAGCGACUAUAGGCUUAGUCUUUACCUUAUGUAUAUGCCAGGGCUCCAAUCCUGUCUCCCAGGUUCAAUGACAUAUAUUGUUUUGGGUUUGUAACUUAGGAUACCUACCUGGUUUAUAUUCUAAAUGAAUUGGCUGGAAACUCCUUUAUGAUAUUCUGCAGCACCUGUAAUAAUACCCAGAGAACAGCUUUGCUACUGCGAAAUCUUGGCUUCACUGCCAUCCCCCUCCAUGGACAAAUGAGUCAGAGUAAGCGCCUAGGAUCCCUUAAUAAGUUUAAGGCCAAGGCCCGUUCCAUUCUUCUAGCAACUGACGUUGCCAGCCGAGGUUUGGACAUACCUCAUGUAGAUGUGGUUGUCAACUUUGACAUUCCUACCCAUUCCAAGGAUUACAUCCAUCGAGUAGGUCGAACAGCUAGAGCUGGGCGCUCCGGAAAGGCUAUUACUUUUGUCACACAGUAUGAUGUGGAACUCUUCCAGCGCAUAGAACACUUAAUUGGGAAGAAACUACCAGGUUUUCCAACACAGGAUGAUGAGGUUAUGAUGCUGACAGAACGCGUCGCUGAAGCCCAAAGGUUUGCCCGAAUGGAGUUAAGGGAGCAUGGAGAAAAGAAGAAACGCUCGCGAGAGGAUGCUGGAGAUAAUGAUGACACAGAGGGUGCUAUUGGUGUCAGGAACAAGGUGGCUGGAGGAAAAAUGAAGAAGCGGAAAGGCCGUUAAUCACUUUUGUGAAGGCUCGAGUUCUGCUGUUCUGUAAAAGAGAAUUGGAGAAUCAAACCUGCUCCAACAGAGAUCAUGAGACUGAAAUCGGUCAGAAUUGUGUCCAGAAUGUGCUCAGCUAAUUCAGUAUUCUUCCCCAUUCUGGGUUGGAGUUUACUGCAGAAUAAUUCUUACAGUGCUGAUGUCAAGACUGUUACUGUUCUUCGACUUUGAUUCCUUGCUCAUGACAUGAGUAGGGUGUGCUCUUCUGUCACUUCACACAGACCUUUUGCCUUUUUUAGCUGCAAGUCAAGGACUAGGUUGAUGAUGCCCAUGACCUGUAAUUGUAAAGAAGCUUGGACAUCUGCAAAUGAUAUUUAAGCCAUCUUGGCUUGUGCUUUAUUCAAACUAAUGUGAAACAAUAAAUUUAAAUGUUAUUUUUAAAA